UGUGCAAUUGAUAUGGAAUGUAUGAUAUCUUUCUUGAUGAAUAAACAUUUUGAAAAUUCGUAGGAAAUACAAAAUAGGAGAUCUACUUUCAUUUAGGGGUUUGAAUACUGCAUAGAGAAUGCAUAAACCCAAGUCUUUAACGUCUCCAGAACGCAAAUGCAUUCAAUAUUCAUUGUUAAUUCUAAGUUCAGUGGUGUUGUCAAGUUGGAGUCAGAAUUGUUCAAGCAAAGAAGAUCCGAAUAAAUGUUGCAUGGGUUAUUGGUAUGACCCUAAUUUUAACCAAUGUUUAAAAUGUCAAGAUGGGUACUACGGUAGAAAUUGUUCAAUGGUAUGUCCAUAUCCAAACUUUGGAGAGCUCUGCAGAUUUAAAUGUAACUGCACGUCAGCUUAUUGUCAUCCGACCAAGGGAUGCUAUCCCGA